CCCUUAGAUGUUCUGGGCUGCACGCGUGCUACAAUGGCGUUUCCAGCAAGUCUGCGAACCCGAGAGGGCCAGCGGAUCUUCGAAUUGGCGUCGUGAUCGGGACAGUCGAUUGCAAUUAUUUGACUCAAACGAGGAAUUCCUUGUAAUCGCGAUUCAUCAUAUCGCGCUGAAUACGUCCCUGCCCUUUGUACUCACCGCCCGUCGCUCCUACCGAUUGAGCGAUCCGGUAAAUGUUUUGGAUUGGUGCCGGGGCGGCUAGCUGCCGGUCGCUACGAAAUUUUGUGAACCUUAUCGCUUAGAGGAAGGAAAAGGCGUAACA
rnacentral:rRNA from 1 species